UACAGAGGGUGCGAGCAUUAAUCGGAAUUACUGGGCGUAAAGCGUGCGUAGACGGUUAUUUAAGUCGGGUGUGAAAGCCCCGGGCUCAACCUGGGAAUUGCAUUCGAGACUGAAUAGCUAGGGUACGGUAGAGGGAAGUGGAAUUUCCGGUGUAGCGGUGAAAUGCGUAGAUAUCGGAAGGAACAUCAGUGGCGAAAGCGACUUCCUGGACCAGUACCGACGUUCAGGCACGAAAGCGUGGGGAGCAAACAGG
rnacentral:rRNA from 1 species